GUCCAUACCAAUAAUUUCCUCAAAGAGACUGUUCCUUCCUUCCAUCUGUUCUUCGAUUAUUUGCCCGGCAUAUUUCAAUGUCGCGGCAGCCAGAUCGCCCACCGACCAACGUCUGUCCAUCAAAACUCUGCUUACGACUGGGAUUGCCAGAAGUAUAAUAGAUUAAUCUUGGUGCUCCUGCCAGGGAAGAGGCGAGCCAUUGAAUUACGAGUUUUAAUUGCGGAUCGCCCUUCAACCUAGUCCCGCAUCCCCAGUUGCCUGUAGCUAUGGGCAAUAAAUCCCCUCCUUGAGGACUGUUCUCCUGCGUCUCCUGCGUGAUAUCGCCAUCGAGCACACCGCCGCCGAUCUUAGCGUUUGCAAAACAAACUUGCAGCACUUUGGAUUCCAUCUCAACUCUCUCCAACCGACCCUCGUGACGUAUCGUCAGCGGACAUAAAGAUUGAAAGCAAACGGAAAAUUUCUUUGAGAAUUUAAUCUCGAAAAUCACUCACUUGUAAAGAUGUCUGAAGAAGUUUGUAAAAUUGAAAUCGCGCAAUGUGGGAUGUGUCUUUGUGGUUCUUUUCGGAUACGUCGAGAAGAACGCGUUUGCGAUUAAGGAGGAGACGAAGGCGUAACUGUAUUCGACACUAUCACCUGUGUAAGAUAAGUAACCCUUAUUUGAAACUUAUCUCUUCUCUCGCGUGAAUGCGCUAUCUUUAUUUUAAAUAGUGUGAAGGGCAUGUGUAUAAUGAAAAAGAUAUAUAUUUUAUAAUAUAUGAAAUUGCGAUUUUCGGGAUAUCUGGGAGAAUGUCGAAUCUCGUGAUAGCGAUACCUUGCUGCUGCAGACUAAAGUGUAAGCCUUGCGGAGGUUUAGUAUAUUUUAAAUCCUUAGCUCUUUCCACCAUUCGCGGUAUUGUCUUCGUGAACACCUGCUCCCUUUCCACAGGAUCGAGAUCUUUAUUUAAGAAAGUCCCCAACAUGGAAAAUAAAUCUGCGUCCUGCAUGUCUUCUUCGGGAUCGAGACUUAUACUGAAAAUAAUACAAAUAUAUAACAAUUGCAACCUACUUGUAAAUUAUUUAAUCUAGAUUAUAUAUAUAUUUAAUGUAAAGAUAAGCGCAUAUAUCUUAGAAAAUAACGAUUGAAAACACAAGUCAUACUUGCACAUAUCAUGCAAUCGUUGCAUCGCAUCUAUUAGGUCCUCGGAAUUUUUUGCCAGGGCGGCUUUAUCUAGUUGUUUCACCACAGCCGGCCACCAAGGCAGAUCACAUGGUAACAUUACUAGAGCCAUUGUGGAUCUGCGAAACGCAUAAAAGUACUCAAAAUGUGCAACUUAAAUAGUGAUCAUAAUAAUUGUUAGCAAUUUUUCGUUUCACAAGGUUUCACAAGGUAGAAACUAAUAUUACAAUUUAUGAUGCAUUAACUCGAGCGAAUCUGUACUUUGAAAGCGCAGUAAUCGAUUUGAAUUUAUAGUUGGCGUGAUAUGUCAAAGCUAUGCGCGUGAUGGACUUACAAAAGUAGCGCGAUCGUAAAAUAUAAAGUCGAA